UGAGUAACACGUAUCCAACCUGCCGUCUACUCUUGGCCAGCCUUCUGAAAGGAAGAUUAAUCCAGGAUGGCAUCAUGAGUUCACAUGUCCGCAUGAUUAAAGGUAUUUUCCGGUAGACGAUGAGGAUGCGUUCCAUUAGAUGGUAGGCGGGGUAACGGCCCACCUAGUCAACGAUGGAUAGGGGUUCUGAGAGGAAGGUCCCCCACAUUGGAACUGAGACACGGUCCAA
rnacentral:rRNA from 1 species